rnacentral:rRNA from 1 species
ACUCAAUCAUGUGCAGAGGGCAACAGCCGGUUGUGCGUCUCUGUCAGAGACUACUACUGUUACAUGCCGCAGACACGGCCUGCGAUCUAUAAUCCCAUACUUUGCGGAGCACGCCUCUUGCAGCAAUGGGCCGUCGACAUGUACGUCAAGAUUGAAAGUUGUCGGUUGAGGUGGUACAGGGAGAACCAGACGCAGAUUCGUGCCGACUUGUAUAAAGGAGUUGUUGAUGCGAUCACAUCGGGGGAGACACGAGCAAGCGCUGUUGGGGUAAGAAUAGUUCUUCCUGGAACAUACCCUGGUGGCGACCGCGACAUGAAGAAGAGGCAUAUGGAUGCCAUGGCAAUUGUCCAUACAUACGGGAAGCCAGACAUCUUCUUGACCAUGACUUGCAAUCCUAAAUGGGAAGAGAUAACGAAUGAGUUGCUGCCUAGUUAG